CCCAUAUUUUUUACAUCCCCAGGCCUUGGAGCCUUUCUGGAAGACAAAGGUAGGGUCUCCCCGUCGAGCACUCUCUGCUUUGAUGGGCUCCGCUGACACAUUAUCUGCCUUUCAGAGUCCCAUUAGAAUGCAUUCGUGUCAAAUCAGCAUCAUCAGACAACAACACUUAUUAGCUACUUGCUACUUGAAGCGUGAGUCAUAAGAACAGAAGCCAGAGAGAAGGAACCGCUUGCAGAAACAAGCGUUGUGUUUGGGCAGCCCACGUGAGCCUGUGUCCUCCGUGUGCGAUGAGACCCCGGAGGUGCCCAUCAAAAUUUGCUUUCCAGGAAGGACCUGAUAAGAUCAAGGAAGAAUCCAUGAAUCAAUCCAGCAAUCAAAAAGCAUUCAUUAAGGAUUGGCUGUAUUCCAGGCACUGUGCUAGGUGUUGGAGAUACAAAGACAGAAAUCAAACUGUUCUUGCCCUCGAGGAAAUUCCGUUCUAGUGAGACAAACAUCUUCAUUAAUGAAUGUAUUCUAUACUUAUGUCUAUGUA
rnacentral:lncRNA from 1 species